rnacentral:rRNA from 1 species
GAGUUUGAUCCUGGCUCAGAACGAACGCUGGCGGCGUGCCUAAUACAUGCAAGUCGAACGAGAAUAUGUAGCAAUACAUUAGUAAAGUGGCAGACGGGUGAGUAAUACAUAGAUAAUCUACCUCCAAGAUGGGGACAACCUUCCGAAAGGAGGGCUAAUACCGAAUGAGACCACAGUAUCUACGGAUACAGGGGUCAAAGGUGGCCUCUACUUGUAAGCUAUCGCUUGGAGAUGAGUUUAUGCACCAUUAGCCUGUUGGUAGGGUAACGGCCUACCAAAGCUAUGAUGGUUAACUGAUCUGAGAGGAUGGUCAGCCACAUUGGGACUGAGACACUGCCCAGACUCCUACGGGAGGCUGCAGUCGAGAAUCUUGGGCAAUGCCCGCAAGGGUGACCCAGCGACGCCGCGUGGAGGAAGAAGGCCCUUGGGUUGUAAACUCCUUUUCGGGAAGAAGAAGGGGGGCGCAAGCUCUCUUGACGGUACUCCCGGAAUAAGCCACGGCUAACUACGUGCCAGCAGCCGCGGUAAUACGUAGGCAGCGAGCGUUGUUCGGAAUUACUGGGCGUAAAGAGUGUGUAGGCGGUGUUCCCAGUCUGUUGUGAAAUCCCUCGGCUUAACCGGGGAACUGCGUCUGAUACUGGAUGGCUUGAGUGUGGGAGAGGGAUGCGGAAUUCCAGGUGUAGCGGUGAAAUGCGUAGAUAUCUGGAGGAACACCGGUGGCGAAGGCGGCAUCCUGGACCACAACUGACGCUGAGUGAGCGAAAGCCAGGGGAGCAAACGGGAUUAGAUACCCCGGUAGUCCCGGCCCUAAACGAUGAAUGCUUGGUGUGACGGGUAUCGAUCCCUGUCGUGCCGAAGCUAACGCAUUAAGCAUUCCGCCUGGGGAGUACGGUCGCAAGGCUGAAACUCAAAGGAAUUGACGGGGGCCCGCACAAGCGGUGGAGCAUGUGGUUCAAUUCGACGCAACGCGAAGAACCUUACCUGGGCUCGAAGCGCAGUGGACCGGGGUAGAAAUAUCCCUUUUCGCAAGAACCGCUGCGGAGGUGCUGCAUGGCCGUCGUCAGCUCGUGUCGUGAGAUGUUGGGUUAAGUCCCGCAACGAGCGCAACCCUUACCUCUAGUUGCCAGCGAGUCAAGUCGGGAACUCUAGAGGGACUGCCCGGGUUAACCGGGAGGAAGGUGGGGAUGAUGUCAAGUCCUCAUGGCCCUUAUGUCCAGGGCUACACACGUGCUACAAUGGGCGAUACAAACCGUUGCAAAGUCGCGAGAUGGAGCUAAUCGGAGAAAGUCGUCCUCAGUUCGGAUUGUAGUCUGCAACUCGACUACAUGAAGGUGGAAUCGCUAGUAAUCGUGUAUCAGAACGAUACGGUGAAUACGUUCCCGGGCCUUGCACACAC